AUUGAACGCUGGCGGCAUGCCUUACACAUGCAAGUCGAACGGCAGCACGGGGGCAACCCUGGUGGCGAGUGGCGAACGGGUGAGUAAUACAUCGGAACGUGUCCUGUAGUGGGGGAUAGCCCGGCGAAAGCCGGAUUAAUACCGCAUACGAUCUACGGAGGAAAGCGGGGGAUCUUCGGACCUCGCGCUGCAGGGGCGGCCGAUGGCAGAUUAGCUAGUUGGUGGGGUAAAGGCCUACCAAGGCGACGAUCUGUAGCUGGUCUGAGAGGACGGGCAGCCACACUGGGACGGAGACACGGCCCAGACUCCUACGGGAGGCAGCAGUGGGGAAUUUUGGACAAUGGGGGCAACCCUGAUCCAGCAAUGCCGCGUGUGUGAAGAAGGCCUUCGGGUUGUAAAGCACUUUUGUCCGGAAAGAAAACGUCUUGGUUAAUACCUGAGGCGGAUGACGGUACCGGAAGAAUAAGCACCGGCUAACUACGUGCCAGCCGCCGCCGUAA
rnacentral:rRNA from 1 species